GAGCUCCAACGAAUACCACAGAAACAGUUGCAUAGAUGAGAAUCCAAAGUGCGCAAAAACAAAUGGUAUCUGCGGGUUCGAAAAUGGCCCUUGUGGGAUGCAAAAUUAUGGGUGGAGAUACUACACACAAACCAACACAAGCACAAGAUAUGAUCGUUCAUUUUUAGAAGGAGGUGCCUACUACAUUGCAGAUUUUGGUACCAACAUGUCUAGUUCCAGCAAAUUAUCUUUGCAAUGGUUCAAAACAAAACCGUAUUGCAUGCAAUUUUGGUACAUUGUUCCUGACAAA